rnacentral:misc_RNA from 1 species
CGGGGCCAGUUCGCAAUGGUGCCGCGCGUCUCGAGUAGCCAGUCCUCGACACCGUCUCGAAGACGAAACGGCCAGAGUGAAACUCUACGGAGCAACGAUACCGCGUUUCUUGAUACCAAAAUGGCUUCUCUCAAAUCGGCGGUGAAAUUUUUCACGAGAUUUUAGUGCCUCUGAUAACGAAAAACGGAUAUUGACGAGUAAACGAGUGUCGUUGGUGUCUGUGAAUCAGUGCACCGUUCCAAGUUUCUUAUUCUUCUUCGUUUCGGCUGUUUACUUAUUCACUUGUCGUUGUCAACGAAGAGGAAACGCUGAUACAGGGAACGAUUUAUCGUUCAGGUAAUAAACACGUUACACCGAGGAGCCCCGGAAAAACCAGGCUCUAUGCAGGCGGUGAGGGAACGGAUUUUCGAUACCGAGGAAGAAGAAGAAGCAGUGCGUUGCAGUCGUUGAUUGGAAGAAAGAGAGAAUCGAAUAGUUGGAAAAGGAUGCUGGGUCCAAACCGAGCCCAGACGACGAGGACUCUCCUCUUCGUCCUCGUCCUGGGUGUGGCGUUGUUUAAAUCGGCGAAGGGACACGUCGCCCUGACUUUUCCCCACGCGAGGAAGUACGACCUCGACUUCCUGGACAACGCGAGGACGCCGGGACCCUGCGGAAUGCCGAGAGGUGACAUCAGAACCUCGUUUCUCAGCGGCAGCAGCUUCAACGUCACCUGGCAUCUCGCCUAUCCGCACAGGGGUGGCUUCAGGCUGCAGAUUUUAGACGCCCUCGACAGACCCCUCGUCGAUCUCACCCCGGUCACCCAGGUCAGCGAAUUCGUCGAGGACGAUGCCACGGCGCAAUCAUUCCCGGUAAGCUUGCCUCAGAACUUCACGUGCAAGGACUGCACCAUCAGGCUUCUACGAGAGGCCGAAGAAUGGGGAUCAACGUACAGGUUUUGGUCCUGCGCCGACAUCGACAUUCUGGAGAAGAAAGAGUACAGAGAAGACUGCAGUAAGCACGGUAAAUACCUCGUGGGAAGAUGCAGAUGCGACAGAUUCUACCGCGGAUCUAGGUGCGAGAUCAAGGAAGAGUGCCUCGACGACGUGGACUGCGGAUCGCAAGGGGUCUGCGUCGACAACAAGGGAACGACAUCCCCGACCAAACACUGCUAUUGCAACAUCGGAUGGUUCGGUCCCGGAUGCAACAAGAAAUCGCCGAUCAAGAGCACGGAGAUAAACUUCGACGCGUACACCAUGAAGAACUUCUCCGACAGCUUCAAGCUCUACUGGCGGAUUCUCAAGGACAUUAACGAGCUCGAGGCUGUAAUGGUGGUCAACGGCACCUCUUGGGUUGGACUCGGAUGGCGACCGAAGGACCUGACUCCGGCUUGCAAGGCUUUUCCCGAACUUUCAGACCCGCCCGGUGAACCGCUACCGAAACCGGAACCAAAAUCAGAACCAGAACCGGCACCCGAAGGCGUUCCAGAGCCGACAAGUGGCUCUGCCAAAGCCGAGCCUGAGCCGCACGCAGAGUCGAAGGCCGAGCCGGUUUCCGAACCGAAAUCGGUUCCCGUCUCGAGUCCUGAACCAUCCCCCGAACCCGGUGCUGAACCAACUCCAGAACCGGAAGCCGAGCCCUCAAAGUCCGGGGCGAAACGGAGAUCACCAAAGGCUUACGGGGCCGCACCGCCUGAUUCCGAUGUCACAGUUCGCACUAGCGUCACUUACCAAGUGAGCAGCAAGCAAGGACGGAAGAGGCGAGCUAUCGGAGCCGCGGAGACGGAACCAACGACUGGGGAGCCCAGCGGCGCGCCUACUUACACCACUGCUGAACCUCAACCAAAAACAUCCACUCCUGAACCAACCUCCAUCACGGAAUCAUACCGUCCCGAACCCAUUUCAUCAACCCACGAAUCAUCCACUGUAUUCACAACCGUAAACGAAUCUCGCUCUGGAACCAAUCGUGAACCAAAAUCCGAACCCGUCUCUGAACCAGUUUCCGAACCCACGUCCGAACCGAAAUCCGAGCCUACUUCUGAACCCACAUCUGAACCAAAGUCUGAACCUACUGCUGAACCAAAAUCCGAACCCGCCUCUGAACCCACAUCGGAACCGGUUUCGGAACCGAAAUCCGAACCCGUAUCUGAACCCACAUCGGAACCGGUUUCGGAACCAAAAUCCGAACCCGUUUCUGAACCCACAUCGGAACCGAUUUCGGAACCUUUUGCGGAACCCAAAUCCGAACCUGUCUCUGAACCAGUUUCCGAACCUAGUGCUGAACCCAAAUCCGAACCUAAUGCGGAACCGAAAUCAGAGCCGAUCUCGGAACCCACGACAGAACCUAAAUCAGAACCGGUUUCUGAGCCGAGCGCUGAACCAAAAUCCGAACCCAAUCCCGAACCCGUAACCGAACCGCAUCCUGAGCCGAAAUUGGAGCCUAAUUUCAACGUAGAAGCUCUGGGACCAACGGAGAAGUCGGGAGCGACAAAAGCUCCAACACCAUCGGCGGUUCACAAAUACACUCCUAAGCACGAUUUCAAUCCAAUGGACUGUACGGACAUCGUGAUCGGCAGCGCGGUCGGCAUGACGCACCGAAUCGGAGAUUAUUACACGAGAGAUCGAUCUACGCCGCGUCCGGACGCGUUCUGGGGUGGUCAGGAUGGCCUCACGGCUGCAAUGGGCUUCGAGAAGGAUGGCGUGACGACAAUAGUCUUCAGGAAGAAACUCAACGACACCGGACUCGCGGACCACGAGAUAGUCGACUCUGCGAUGCACGUGAUCUGGGCCAAGGGUCAGGAGCCAGGAAGCUACGUCCACGACCCGCCGAGCGGUGUGGAAAAGAGCAAAGUGUCCGUGAAGGACUUCUACAAGCCGGACGAGCUCAAGUACCACGGUCACAGCUCGCAGCGAGGCUUCACAAGCAUAAACUUCCUCGACGAGCACAAGACCGAGUCCGGUGGUCACGCACCACUCGAAGGUGGAGGCUGCGGCGGAGAAUGGCGGUAUCCGAGACAUUGUUCCUUGAAGAACGGUACGUGCGAGUACGCCGCACGAUGGGUCUACAAGGCCAAAAAGGACUUGCUGGCUUUCACCAUCGUAACUUCUCACACCGACAAAUGGACGGGCAUAGGAUUGUCCAACGACGAAAAAAUGUCGCAAACCGACGCGAUAAUAGGAUGGGUCAACAAGCUGACUGGUCAGCCGUUCGUCAUGGACACUUGGAUCAGCGGGUACAAUUCCCCGCUUUUGGACGAGUCGCAGGACAUUCUUGAACGGUCCGGAAAAAUCGAGGACGGAUUCACGACCCUCAAUUUCACUAGAAAACGGGCGACGAGAGACUCCAAGGAUAUUUCAAUCACGGACGAGCACUGCGUCUACAUGAUGUUUCCGAUCAAGGGAGGCCUCUUCAACGCCGUUAACAAAAAGCUCAAGAAACACGAGACGGUACCGAUGAUAUCGAGCGACAGGAUAUGCGUCAGGUCCUGCGGCGACGAGUUCGAUGAGGACGCGCCAGCCACUCCCGGUCCUCCCAGGCUCGUCUACGACUUUGAGGUAAAACUUUUGGACCUAGGGGAUGGGUUCCAGGCACCGGAUCCCAACACUCCAGAGUUCGAAACGAUAUCAAACACGAUUGCAGACAGCUUUAAACCGGCUCUGAGCAAGGUUCCCGGCUUCUAUGAGAUCAAAUUGAACCAGCUCGAGAGAUCCGACGGAGAAUCGAUCCUUGCCAAGAUGAACCUAAUCCUCGACAAAAAUGAGGAAAAGGGUCGGGCCUUGAGGCCCGAAGACACGGAAGCGAUAGCCAGAGGGGCCCUGAACGAGACACUGGUCACUGGGCGCGUCGGAACCCUUCGGGUAGACCCACAAUAUCUGGUCUUCAAAGCGCCACAAAUCACGGACAUUUCCGACGAGGACGAGGCCUCUUCGCCUAGUACAACGGGACUUCUACUGGGUUCGACAAAACUGUACGUUAUCGUUGGUUGCGUAGCUGCCCUUGUAGCACUGGCGCUUCUCCAGGCAACUUGCACCCUUUAUCGUUCGAGGAAACGAACGUCAAAGAGGGUGUACGCGCUCCCACUUCAGGCUUCUUCUCCUGCUUCAAUGAAUCCAAUUCAUCACCCAAACUCGAAUACGACGCAGUUACGUCAUCAAAGUCAAAACAACUAUCAAUACAACAACCACCACCAACAUUUUCCGCCAAAUAUGCACCGGCCCGCCUCGAACUGGUAGCAUAUCUAUGAAUGUCAAUUUUCCCUACCAAGAUCUAACCGAACAUCCUCCGACCCAAAUACCGUAAACGAAAUUGAUGAAUACACUCGGCGCGGUCCUUGCAGAGAUCAGCUGAUAACCACGAACAACGCGUGGAAGGAUUACAACUCUGGGGCAAAUACGAAUUUCGCUUUCGAGGCGUUCGAGACGGAGGAGAAAGCUCCUCCGCCCGUAUCCAGCCUCCCGAGGCC